rnacentral:rRNA from 1 species
CGAAAGCCUGACGGAGCAACGCCGCGUGAGGGAUGAAGGCCUCUGGGCUGUAAACCUCUUUUCUCAAGGAAGAAGAUCUGACGGUACUUGAGGAAUAAGCCACGGCUAAUUCCGUGCCAGCAGCCGCGGUAAUACGGGAGUGGCAAGCGUUAUCCGGAAUCAUUGGGCGUAAAGCGUCCGCAGGCGGCCUUGAAAGUCUGUCGUUAAAGCGUGGAGCUUAACUCCAUUUCAGCGAUGGAAACUACAAGGCUUGAGUGUGGUAGGGGCAGAGGGAAUUCCCGGUGUAGCGGUGAAAUGCGUAGAUAUCGGGAAGAACACCAGUGGCGAAGGCGCUCUGCUGGGCCAUAGCUGACGCUCAUGGACGAAAGCCAGGGGAGCG